rnacentral:lncRNA from 1 species
AAAUACUGUUAAGUCCUGUGUGCACUGGACCCUUGUUACUGUGAGUAGAGCACUCCCCAGCCUUGAUAGGCUUUUGGGAUCCUUGGUUAUUGUGAAGCAGAGUGGCCUUGACUUUCAGCUAUCAGCCCUAACUGCACAUGGGAGCAUUUGGGGGUGAAGUGUUGUGGUCCCUACAGCCUAGUCAGUCCAGGGGAGGAUAUCUAUGUUAGUCGGGUAGAGAGGAACUAUGACAGCUGACGAAAUAGGUCAGAAAUAAGUCACGGCUGGGUGGGGGUAUGUUGUUUCAUUUAUUUGUAGAUCUGAAUAAGUUCAAAAAGGGAGAAGCACUAAACUACCCAUGGCCAAGGAUAGGAGAUGCUGAACAUCUUUUCUGAUGUGGCAAGGCACAUUCAGAAAGGACUGUAGAGCCGGAGGGUGUGGUAGUAUAUGCCUGUACCAUCAGCUACUAAGGAGGCAUGACAGAAUCACAAGUUUCCAGGCCUGCCAGGGCAUCUGGGUGAGACCCCUGUUUCACAAUAAAACUGAAAAAGGAAUUGAAGCUGUAGUUUAGUAGUAGAGCUCGUGUUUAGCACAAGGCUCUAGGUUCUAUCCUCAGUAUGGGACAACAUAAUACUAAAGGCUAAUGUUUUAGGGGUUUGCAGGGAUAGGAGAGGGGCCCCCUCAUCGUCAUCUUCUGUGGACUUGAUUUUCUCCUUUUUGGAGGCAAAAUAAUGAACUGGACUCUCCAGGUGCCUGUCAAUAUGUUUCCUCUUGGUUUUGAACCUGGUAGGAGGUACUAAGUGGGAGAGAAUGAGGAAUGGGCUCACUAGUAAGAGCUACUGAGCACUUCUUUCUCCCUGUGCUCUGCUGUAAUUGCCAUGAAGCACCAGACCAGACUCCCUCUCCCUGGGAGGAAACAUGAGUUUGGCUAAAUAAGAGUGUAGUGACAUGUGUAGCUACAGUGUCCUCAUGUGUUGCUUCCCCACUUUGGAGAAAAUACCUGAUGAUUAUUAUGUUUUGAUGCUUGCUCGAAUAAGGAUCUCCUAGCAUCCCCUCUUCUUGACUCAGGAUAUUUUAGAAAGAAAAGAUGAAGCUCUAUGGGUACCUCAGGAGGACCUGUGGGAUAUUUGUUUUCUUCCUUCUAUCCCAUCUCUAACC